AUUGAACGCUGGCGGCAUGCCUUACACAUGCAGGUCGAACGGCAGCACGGGGCAACCUGGUGGCGAGUGGCGAACGGGUGAGUAAUGCAUCGGAACGUACCUUUCAGUGGGGGAUAACGUAGCGAAAGUUACGCUAAUACCGCAUAUUCUGUGAGCAGGAAAGCAGGGGAUCGCAAGACCUUGCGCCGAUUGAGCGGCCGAUGUCAGAUUAGCUAGUUGGUGAGGUAAAGGCUCACCAAGGCGACGAUCUGUAGCGGGUCUGAGAGGAUGAUCCGCCACACUGGAACUGAGACACGGUCCAGACUCCUACGGGAGGCAGCAGUGGGGAAUUUUGGACAAUGGGGGCAACCCUGAUCCAGCCAUGCCGCGUGAGUGAAGAAGGCCUUCGGGUUGUAAAGCUCUUUCGGCCGGGAAGAAAUCGCACGGGCUAAUACCCUGUGUGGAUGACGGUACCGGAAUAAGAAGCACCGGCUAACUACGUGCCAGCAGCCGCCGUAACAC
rnacentral:rRNA from 1 species